rnacentral:lncRNA from 1 species
GAGUCCUUACUUGAUUUGACACUAAAAACUAGAUUGUCACUGCGCCUAUGGGCGGUCCCUAAGUUCCCUGAAUUUUUCUUCGAGAACUGAAACGUGCUUACGAUACCUACACAUGUCCCAAAUAACCUAAAAAAUCAGACCUAGGGCCUACUAGGCCAAUUUUGGAAUUUCAGCAUGGCAGCUCUGUCGUGCUGCGGUGACGGUGCCAUCGCUCGCAGUGACAAUCCGCCUCGGGUUGGCUAUUUU